rnacentral:rRNA from 1 species
GACGAACGCUGGCGGCAUGCCUAAUACAUGCAAGUCGAGCGGAGUUUAAUUCGAAGCUUGCUUCGAAUUAAACUUAGCGGCGGACGGGUGAGUAACACGUAGGCAACCUGCCUGUAAGACUGGGAUAACUACCGGAAACGGUAGCUAAUACCGGAUAAUUCUUUCUUCGCAUGACGAGAGAAUGAAAGACGGAGCAAUCUGUCACUUAUGGAUGGGCCUGCGGCGCAUUAGCUAGUUGGUGAGGUAAUGGCUCACCAAGGCGACGAUGCGUAGCCGACCUGAGAGGGUGAACGGCCACACUGGGACUGAGACACGGCCCAGACUCCUACGGGAGGCUG